rnacentral:lncRNA from 1 species
AAAUGCAUGCUCAACAAAAAUAAGGGAAACAAAUCAAUAAAAUAUUCCUCUUGAUACUUUCUUUUGAUUGUAAGAAGCUUCUGUCCAAGUUUGGUAAAAAUCCAGGAUAGUUUAUUAAUCUAAUAAAUGUUUUAAAAACUUUAACAGCAGACUGUAUGUAAUGUUAACUGGGAGAAAAACUAAGUCCAUUUAUAAUUAAAA